GAUGAGCCUAGGUCGGAUUAGCUUGUUGGUGAGGUAAUGGCUCACCAAGGCGACGAUCCGUAACUGGUCUGAGAGGAUGAUCAGUCACACUGGAACUGAGACACGGUCCAGACUCCUACGGGAGGCAGCAGUGGGGAAUAUUGGACAAUGGGCGAAAGCCUGAUCCAGCCAUGCCGCGUGUGUGAAGAAGGUCUUCGGAUUGUAAAGCACUUUAAGUUGGGAGGAAGGGUUGUAGAUUAAUACUCUGCAAUUUUGACGUUACCGACAGAAUAAGCACCGGCUAAUUCUGUGCCAGCAGCCGCGGUAAUACAGAGGGUGCAAGCGUUAAUCGGAAUUACUGGGCGUAAAGCGCGCGUAGGUGGUUUGUUAAGUUGGAUGUGAAAGCCCCGGGCUCAACCUGGGAACUGCAUCCAAAACUGGCAAGCUAGAGUACGGUAGAGGGUGGUGGAAUUUCCUGUGUAGCGGUGAAAUGCGUAGAUAUAGGAAGGAACACCAGUGGCGAAGGCGACCGCCUGGACUGAUACUGACACUGAGGUGCGAAAGCGUGGGGAGCAAACAGGAUUAGAUACCCUGGUAGUCCACGCC
rnacentral:rRNA from 1 species